ACUCCUGCGGGAGGCAGCAGUGGGGAAUAUUGGACAAUGGGCGCAAGCCUGAUCCAGCCAUGCCGCGUGAGUGAUGAAGGCCCUAGGGUUGUAAAGCUCUUUCACCGGUGAAGAUAAUGACGGUAACCGGAGAAGAAGCCCCGGCUAACUUCGUGCCAGCAGCCGCGGUAAUACGAAGGGGGCUAGCGUUGUUCGGAUUUACUGGGCGUAAAGCGCACGUAGGCGGACUAUUAAGUCAGGGGUGAAAUCCCGGGGCUCAACCCCGGAACUGCCUUUGAUACUGGUAGUCUUGAGUUCGAGAGAGGUGAGUGGAAUUCCGAGUGUAGAGGUGAAAUUCGUAGAUAUUCGGAGAAACACCAGUGGCGAAGGCGGCUCACUGGCUCGAUACUGACGCUGAGGUGCGAAAGCGUGGGGAGCAAACAGGAUUAGAUACCCCAGUAGUCCCAUGAU
rnacentral:rRNA from 1 species